AUAUGUUGACUCAUUUAAACAACUGUUUCUUUUUUUAGGGUACAGAGGAACCAUAACAGGCUCCUGUUGCCAGUGUACUGUAUGUUGGACAGCACUGAUUCAUCAAAACAUUCUGGCCCACUGUUUUGAACAUCGCUAAGGACACAUACAGUAAUAUCCUGAGGCCAUCUCUUGGCAAGGGUGGCGCAUCUACAGUAUGACCUUUUCUUCUCCGGCAGCUUUGGAAGUUGUCCCUAAAAUCACCGAGCACGUACAGAAUUCAGUCCCCCCACAGGUUACAAACCAACAUCAAAUUUGCCUGGAUGGCAUCUCCUGAACCUUGCUGUACUCCAUAUUAAAAGCCCUUCCGCUUGGUGGCUGGACACAAAUAA